GCCUGGGUGGCUCACUCAGUUGAGCAUCUGACUUCAGCUCAGGUCAUUGUGGGUUCAAGCCCUACAUUAGGCU
rnacentral:tRNA from 1 species